rnacentral:rRNA from 1 species
GCAGUAGCCGCGGGAAUACGAAGGAGGCUAGCGUUGUUCGGAUUUACUGGGCGUAAAGGGCGCGUAGGCGGACUGAUAAGUCAGGGGUGAAAUCCCAAGGCUCAACCUUGGAACUGCCUUUGAUACUGUUUGUCUUGAGUUCGAGAGAGGUAAGUGGAACUGCGAGUGUAGAGGUGAAAUUCGUAGAUAUUCGCAAGAACACCAGUGGCGAAGGCGGCUUACUGGCUCGAUACUGACGCUGAGGCGCGAAAGCGUGGGGAGCAAACAGGAUUAGAUACCCCCGUAGUCCCUGUCUCUUAUAA